UUGUCAAUUGAUGCCUAGGCACCAAGAUGACCCGGUCCGGUGCAUUGACCCUUUACCCCCAGCCCCCAAUGCCCGGGCCGGAUCUCCCC
rfam:Rhizobium sp. Root564 contig_11, whole genome shotgun sequence.